rnacentral:lncRNA from 1 species
UAAUUCAUCAGCCUGACUCGAGUUUCUGUUGAAGAAUCCAUGAGCUUCCCAGUUGGUAACUUCUGCCUUAUGGCUGUCAGAUCUCAUCCCACGGAAUCCAAGUGUUGGAAUGUUCCAUCGGGCAGGGGUGCAAAGGUCCUUUAGCUCCUGCCUGUCAGUGUGUUCUAGCAACCAGCGUGGGCACUGGAUCGGGAAUGAUUGCUAUUCUUGGAC